rnacentral:rRNA from 1 species
UACGUAGGGUGCAAGCGUUGUCCGGAAUUAUUGGGCGUAAAGAGCUCGUAGGCGGUUUGUCGCGUCUGCUGUGAAAACGCGAGGCUCAACCUCGCGCCUGCAGUGGGUACGGGCAGACUAGAGUGCGGUAGGGGAGAUUGGAAUUCCUGGUGUAGCGGUGAAAUGCGCAGAUAUCAGGAGGAGCACCGGUGGCGAAGGCGGUUCUCUGGGCAUGUCCUGACGCUGAGGCGCGAAAGCUAGGGGAGCGAACGGG